rnacentral:rRNA from 1 species
CCUACGGGUGGCAGCAGUAGGGAAUGUUGCGCAAUGGGCGAAAGCCUGACGCAGCAACGCCGCGUGAAAGAGACGAACUUAGGGGUGGAAAGAUCUGGUAGUGGGGAAGAAACGUGACGGUACCCACAGAGGAAGAACCGGCUAACUCCGUGCCAGCAGCCGCGGUAAAACGUGGGGUGCAAGCGUUGUCCGGAAUGAUUGGGCGUAAAGAGGUCGUAGGCGGCACGGAAAGUCUGGUGUUAAAGGCAGAGGCUCAACUUCUGUACGGCACUUGAGACUUGCGAGCUAGAAUGCGGUAGAGGUAACGGGACUUCCUGGUGUAGCGGUUAACUGCUUAGCUAUCCGGAG